rnacentral:rRNA from 1 species
GGGCCCGCACAAGCGGAGGAGCAUGUGGUUUAAUUCGAUGAUACGCGAGGAACCUUACCUGGGCUUAAAUGUCAUGCGACCAUUUCUGAAAAGAGAUUUCUCUUCGGAGCGAAUGGCAAGGUGCUGCAUGGCUGUCGUCAGCUCGUGCCGUGAGGUGUUGGUUAAGUCCCGCAACGAGCGCAACCCCUAUCUUUAGUUGCCAUCAGGUUAUGCUGGGGACUCUAGAGAAACUGCCUACGUAAGUAGUGAGGAAGGCGGGGACGACGUCAAGUCAUCAUGGCCCUUACGCCCAGGGCUACACACGUGCUACAAUGGUAAGUACAAUGAGAUGCCACUUGGAUAAACAAGGCGCAA